AGCAGCCGCGGUAAUUCCAGCUCCAAUAGCGUAUAUUAAAGUUGUUGCAGUUAAAAAGCUCGUAGUUGAAUUUCGGGAUCAAUUAAUUGGUCGUGCCUCUGGUACGUACUGAUUUUAUUGGUUUCUCCCUUCUGACGAACCAUGAUGUCAUUAAUUUGGUGUCGUGAAGAAUCAGGACUGUUACUUUGAAAAAUUAGAGUGUUUAAAGCAAGCUAACGCUUGAAUACAUUAGCAUGGAAUAAUGAAAUAGGACGUUUGAUCCUAUUUUGUUGGUUUCUAGGAUCGACGUAAUGAUUAAUAGGGAUAGUUGGGGGCAUUAGUAUUCAAUUGUCAGAGGUGAAAUUCUUGGAUUUAUUGAAGACUAACUACUGCGAAAGCAUUUGCCAAGGAUGUUUUCAUUAAUCAAGAACGAAAGUUAGGGGAUCGAAAAUGAUCAGAUACCGUCGUAGUCUUAACCAUAAACUAUGCCGACUAGGGAUCGGAUGAUGUUAAUUUUUAAUGGUCUCAUU
rnacentral:rRNA from 1 species